rnacentral:rRNA from 1 species
UAACUUCAGGAAACUAGGGGCUAAUACCGGAUAGGAGCUCCUGCUGCAUGGUGGGGGUUGGGAAAGUUUCGGCGGUUGGGGAUGGACUCGCGGCUUAUCAGCUUGUUGGUGGGGUAGUGGCUUACCAAGGCUUUGACGGGUAGCCGGCCUGAGAGGGUGACCGGCCACAUUGGGACUGAGAUACGGCCCAG